rnacentral:rRNA from 1 species
UACGGAGGGGGCGAGCGUUAUUCGGAAUUAUUGGGCGUAAAGGGCUCGUAGGCGGUUUGUCGCGUCGGGAGUGAAAACUCAGGGCUUAACCCUGAGCCUGCUUCCGAUACGGGCAGACUAGAGGUAUGCAGGGGAGAACGGAAUUCCUGGUGUAGCGGUGAAAUGCGCAGAUAUCAGGAGGAACACCGGUGGCGAAGGCGGUUCUCUGGGCAUUACCUGACGCUGAGGAGCGAAAGUGUGGGGAGCGAACAGG